UUAUUGCUGCAUAGCGCGGCCCGGACGAGAUGCGCCGUACCCGGUAAAGACAAGACGACGCUUC
rnacentral:ncRNA from 1 species